rnacentral:rRNA from 1 species
UCGGAGUGCUUGCACUCUGUGAAACAAGAUACAGGCUAGCGGCGGACGGGUGAGUAACACGUGGGUAACCUGCCCAAGAGAUCGGGAUAACACCUGGAAACAGAUGCUAAUACCGGAUAACAACAGAUGAUGCCUAUCAACUGUUUAAAAGAUGGUUCUGCUAUCACUCUUGGAUGGACCUGCGGUGCAUUAGCUAGUUGGUAGGGUAACGGCCUACCAAGGCGAUGAUGCAUAGCCGAGUUGAGAGACUGAUCGGCCACAUUGGGACUGAGACACGGCCCAAACUCCUACGGGAGGCAGCAGUAGGGAAUCUUCCACAAUGGACGCAAGUCUGAUGGAGCAACGCCGCGUGAGUGAAGAAGGGUUUCGGCUCGUAAAGCUCUGUUGUUGGUGAAGAAGGACAGGGGUAGUAACUGACCUUUGUUUGACGGUAAUCAAUUAGAAAGUCACGGCUAACUACGUGCCAGCAGCCGCGGUAAUACGUAGGUGGCAAGCGUUGUCCGGAUUUAUUGGGCGUAAAGCGAGUGCAGGCGGCUCGAUAAGUCUGAUGUGAAAGCCUUCGGCUCAACCGGAGAAUUGCAUCAGAAACUGUCGAGCUUGAGUACAGAAGAGGAGAGUGGAACUCCAUGUGUAGCGGUGAAAUGCGUAGAUAUAUGGAAGAACACCGGUGGCGAAGGCGGCUCUCUGGUCUGUUACUGACGCUGAGGCUCGAAAGCAUGGGUAGCGAACAGGAUUAGAUACCCUGGUAGUCCAUGCCGUANACGAUGAGUGCUAAGUGUUGGGAGGUUUCCGCCUCUCAGUGCUGCAGCUAACG